rnacentral:rRNA from 1 species
CCUACGGGAGGCUGCAGUGAGGAAUAUUGGUCAAUGGACGAGAGUCUGAACCAGCCAAGUAGCGUGAAGGAUGACUGCCCUAUGGGUUGUAAACUUCUUUUAUAUGGGAAUAAAACGUUCCACGUGUGGGAUUUUGUAUGUACCAUAUGAAUAAGGAUCGGCUAACUCCGUGCCAGCAGCCGCGGUAAUACGGAGGAUCCGAGCGUUAUCCGGAUUUAUUGGGUUUAAAGGGAGCGUAGGUGGAUUGUUAAGUCAGUUGUGAAAGUUUGCGGCUCAACCGUAAAAUUGCAGUUGAAACUGGCAGUCUUGAGUACAGUAGAGGUGGGCGGAAUUCGUGGUGUAGCGGUGAAAUGCUUAGAUAUCACGAAGAACUCCGAUUGCGAAGGCAGUUCACUGGACUGCAACUGACAUUGAUGCUCGAAAGUGUGGGUAUCAAACAGGAUUAGAUACCCCGGUAGUC